CAUAUAUUGGUAUCAAACUCAAAUUUUCCAUCUCACAAUAGGAGUUUGAUUUGUAUAUGAGUUCAAUAUAUCUCUAAUAUUUGAAAGCGAGAUGUCAAACUUGGUGUCUCAAGGCUUCCCAAAAAAUAAUUGAACUAUAAAACCCCUCAAACGAAAAAAUUUACUUCGCGUGAUUUACUGUUAGGAAUAUAAAUAAGGGAUACAAAUGUCCAAAUAAAAAAACAAAAGCAGAAAACACAAUAAAUAAAAAAUAAACUAAAAAGUAAAAAAUAGGAACACGAUCGCGAAGGAACCCACUUGCAGACUUAGCGGUUCGAGUUCACUUGAUUGCUGGAACCUAUAUAACUGCUGCAUGCGCGCCCAUAUAAUUGCAAAAGAAAUUAAAAACCUACCCAGUUGGAUGGGUUUUUCAAUUUGAUUCUCCACCCAAGACAAAGAGUAAAGAGAGAAGGCAAAGAGGGUUUGGCAUUUGGGCGGCGACGGUUGAGUUGCUGCUGCUACUGCUACUAUUGCUGCUCAAAAAAUGGAUUGCAACAAUGACAAAAUGUGGAGGACAGUUUUAGAUGGAGGAACCAAAGCUGUUCUGCAAUAUCUCAAGGACAAAUUGUAAUGGCUAGAAGAUUAGAGAUGGAUACAAACAUGAGGGAAAUUGCAAAAAGUUACAGACCAAGGGUGCCAAAUUCUGAAUGAUGGAGAGAGCCACUAUAUUGCUAAUCCCUACUACCGACCUUGAGAUUAAGUUCUCCCACUGCCCACACACACAUGGUGUAAAGCUCAAACUACACCCUCAUCGCUCUUGCUUCAACCGCCAAAAUCCUUGAGCAUUCAUCGCAAACGCUAAAAAAUAUCGGGCAGGUCUUUUAGGUUAAGUUGUAUCAAAGACUCCAUUAAGACCUAACCCAGAUAUUCUAAUUCAGAAACUCUAAUUCAAUAAGCAAGCGCAGCUGUUGAAAUCUCAGAAAUUGCACCUGAAUUGGAACAUUUGGUUCGUCUCUUUCCCCUAAUUUUUUUGUUCGAAUUUAAUUGAAAUUUCAAUUCGCAAAUAAAUUUUAUUAUGUUUUUGAGAAUUG